ACGGGUGAGUAACGCGUGGGAAUCUACACUUUAGUGAAGAAUACCCCAGAGAAAUCUGGGUUAAUACUGCAUACGUUCCUUCGGGAAGAAAGAUGGCCUCUUUGCUGUCGCUGAAGAAUGAGCCCGCGUACUAUUAGCUAGUUGGUAGGGUAAAGGCCUACCAAGGCGAGGAUGGUUAGCCGGCCUGAGAGGGUGUACGGCCACAUUGGAACUGAGACACGGUCCAGACUCCUACGGGAGGCAGCAGUGAGGAAUAUUGCGCAAUGGACGAAAGUCUGACGCAGCGACGCCGCGUGGAGGAUGAAGGCCUUCGGGUUGUAAACUUCUGUUAAGUGGGAAGAAAUACGCAAGCCUAAUAAGCUUGCGGGCUGACGGUACCACUAGAGAAAGCACUGGCUAAUCUCGUGCCAGCAGCCGCGGUAAUACGAGAGGUGCAAGCGUUAUUCGGAAUUAUUGGGCGUAAAGGGUGCGCAAGCGGCAUAUUAAGUCAACUGUCUUAAUUUCUCAGCCUAACUGGUGAGUCAUGCGGUAGAUACUGGUGUGCUUGAGGAUGGAAGAGAGAAGUGGAAUUCUCGGA
rnacentral:rRNA from 1 species